UACGUAGGGGGCAAGCGUUGUCCGGAUUUAUUGGGCGUAAAGAGCGUGUAGGCGGCCAGACAGGUCAGCUGUGAAAACUCGAGGCUCAACCUCGAGACGUCGGUUGAAACCGUCUGGCUAGAGUCCGGAAGAGGGCAGUGGAAUUCCCGGGUGUAGCGGUGAAAUGACGUAGAUAUCGGGGAGGAACACCAGUGGCGAAGGCGGCUGCCUGGGCCAGAUCUGACGCUGAGGCGCGAAAGCGUGGGGAGCAAACAGG
rnacentral:rRNA from 1 species